rnacentral:lncRNA from 1 species
CGGAGGGGCCGAGGACAGCAGCCCGGGCCCAGGACCGCCGUCAAUGGCGCUGGCGCUCCCACCCUGUUCCCGGUGGCCGGCCAGCCGAGGCCCAGCUGACACGCUAUUUUUUCCCCUGCUUUACUAAAUAUGGUCAGGGAGCACAGCCCGAGGGGGCCACUUGGCCGGGGCCGCGUGUUUGGGAUGCUUGGCCGGGUAUAUAAGGACUGCAAAGGUGAGGCCGCUCCUGACCCGAGGGGGGCCCCCACGCCCGCUCCGGCCCCUCGGGUCAGCCCUCCCCUCCCUCGCCCUCCCCUCCCCCCCUGCGUGUGUCUCGGCGAUGGGCUGUGUGCAUGUGCGAGCCUGCACACCCGCGGGACCGGCCCCUUUUGUUCCACCCUGACCUCUACCUUGCGCUGACCCGGCUGGGGGUGCGGAGCGUCUGCAGACACAGCCCCGAGCAGGGAGGGGCUCAAGGUGCGCGGCUCGAGGUGGCUCCUCCGUAACUCUGCAUCGCCCGCCAGUCCUGCGCCUCUGGUCCCUCCCUCCCUCCCUCUCUCUCCCUCUCUCCUCAAGAUCUCCCUUCCUGCUAAGUCUGCGCUGCUGCGGGAGGGCUGGGGGAAGGGCAGGGUGCGGAGGGGGGUGCGGCGGGGGACGAGGUCUCGGGGGGCUCUGGGCUCUGCGCCCGCGGGGGCCAUGGGUGGGCCUGAUACCGAGCACCUGCCCCAGCGGCUGCGGGAGGGCGGGCACAGAGGAGGGACCAGGGCAGUCGGCGGGGGGGGCGGGGGGGCAGGUGCGGUCACCCCGCGCUGCAGGGCUGGUCUGUGCUCAGAGGAAAGUCCACACACCCGGGACGCCGUGUCCCUGGCACCGCCGAAGCCGCCGUCCCCCCUCGUCACCGGUGCUGAUGAAUUGGGUGCUGGCAGGAAAACUAAUUUUCUAAAAAGGAACUUGCUC